rnacentral:lncRNA from 1 species
AUGGCAGGAAUCCCAGCUACUCUACACACCUUCAUCUGUCACUUCAGAAAGGUCCCCUUUUGCGGGAGUGGUCCUCGUGCCACCAGGACGCGGUGUCUGCAAGCUAACAGUAUUGCACGCAGGACCAAUGACAGCGUGUGGCUCCUCCACCGCCUGGCGGGAUGUGAGCGCACGUGGCCCCUUCCGAGGGUUGUCUAUGUUUUCGAUGACGCCUGGAAGUGUGUGCGCGCACGUGGUGACUGCUCCCGCUGCUGCUGUCGGGGGGGUGUAAGAAGGCGCGCGCACGUGUACGACCCGUCGGGAGGGCGGAGCGUCCCGUGGGGUCUGUUCCGGUGGCCCAGGACUGUGCACACCUUCCCACGCACUCCGGCGCUGUAUUGUCAUUAUAAUGGGAGGAUGCUGGUGCGAGUUGUGCACGUGAUUCUUCCUCAGUUGUCUGUGACUGAGGACGCAUGUUGGUGUAUGGUCGGCCUGGAGGCAUCUGGAGGUAUGGGAGUGUGUCCCUUUGGGUCCCCCUGUGACUAAUAUAUAGGUAUCGCUACCUCUUAUCUUUCAGAAUUUUUAAAUUACAUUAUUUGUGUGUGUGUGUGUGUGUGUGUGUGUGUGUGUGUGUGUGUAUGGGAACUCGAGUCUCCCACUUCAUCAUCCAAAUGCUACAUAUCUCAACUACUGCAGCAAGAUUUGGUCCAGCUGUGCACCCUCAGUCCUUGCGAAUACCCAUUAGAUGCCGAGGAUAGGAGAGGACAGAGGACAUUCUGCAGAAGUCAGUUCUCUCCUAACGAUUCCCUAGUGGGCCUUGGGAAUCGAAUUCAAAUAGGCAAGCUUGGAGGCAAACGCCCUUACCCACUG